CGGGACGUGUUCAUGGAUGAAAAGAACAAAAUCAUGAGAAUCAUAAACGGUAAAAGGCUGGUUGUGUGACAUGUAUUGUCUAGGUGUACAUUAAAGCUCGACGGUUCAAAGAUAUCAAAUGUACCGAUUGACCGAGUGCAUCCGAUGCAUGUUCACUACGAAAAGUUCAAAGGAAAACCCACUUAUUUAGAUGCAAUCAGUCUUUGCUUGAUGAUCACAUACUUAUCCGUAAAGUUUUUUGAAAAAUAGCCAUUCCCCAUUCAUAUGGGGGAUUGUUGGGUUUUAUGUGUGUGUUUUGAAUGGAAAAUGGAGGAAAUUAAGUGGAAGAGAAAAUUGAGUUUACACCAAAAUGGAAAGUGUGCUCAAAAUAAGAAAGCUUACUAAAAUUCUCCCACAUUGGUGGGAGAAAGAAGCUUUAAAGUGUUUAUAUUGUGAAACACAUUUCCAAAUGCUAAGUGAGGCAAGAAAUAAGAGAUGCUUUGCGCCGUCACCGUCGUCGCUCGCUCAGCUUCGGCUUCCGCUUCGGAUUCAGAUUCAGAUUCAGAUUUGGUCCGAAACAAUGUUUGAUACUCUAUUUAUGCAGUGAACUGAUGCACUGUUUUCUGAACUAGUGCAUUGUUUGAA
rnacentral:lncRNA from 1 species